rnacentral:rRNA from 1 species
AACGAACGCUGGCGGCAUGCCUAACACAUGCAAGUCGAACGAACCCUUCGGGGUUAGUGGCGCACGGGUGCGUAACGCGUGGGAAUCUGCCUUUUGCUUCGGAAUAACAGUUAGAAAUGACUGCUAAUACCGGAGGAUGUCUUCGGACCAAAGAUUUAUUGGCAAGGGAUGAGCCCGCGUAGGAUUAGGUAGUUGGUGGGGUAAAGGCCUACCAAGCCGACGAUCCUUAGCUGGUCUGAGAGGAUGAUCAGCCACACUGGGACUGAGACACGGCCCAGACUCCUACGGGAGGCAGCAGUGGGGAAUAUUGGACAAUGGGCGCAAGCCUGAUCCAGCAAUGCCGCGUGAGUGAUGAAGGCCUUCGGGUCGUAAAGCUCUUUUACCAGGGAUGAUAAUGACAGUACCUGGAGAAUAAGCUCCGGCUAACUCCGUGCCAGCCGCCGCCGUAAAAC